UGCCAGCCGCCGCGGUAAUACGGAGGGUGCAAGCGUUGUUCGGAAUCACUGGGCGUAAAGUGCGCGUAGGCGGCUGGCUAUGUCGAAUGUGAAAGCCCUCGGCUUAACCGAGGAAGUGCAUUCGAAACUGGUCAGCUUGAGUUCGGUAGAGGAGGGUGGAAUUCCGGGUGUAGAGGUGAAAUUCGUAGAUAUCCGGAGGAACACCAGUGGCGAAGGCGACCCUCUGGGCCGAUACUGACGCUGAGGCGCGAAAGCGUGGGGAGCAAACAGGAUUAGAUA
rnacentral:rRNA from 1 species